UUUUUUACUUCUUUUUUACUUCUUUCUUUUUUACUUCUUUCUUUUCCUCUUCUUCUUUCUUAAGAAUACAUCCAAUUAUGAGAA
rnacentral:ribozyme from 13 species